UUUCCGUAGGUGAACCUGAGGAAGGAUCAUUCAUAAUAAGUGUUUUAUGGCACUUUUUUAAAUCCAUAUCCACCUUGUGUGCAAUGUCAGGGUUGAUUUUUCUCUCGAGAGAUCAACCCCAAACAUCAACUAUAUCUCAACUCUUUGUCUGAAAAAUAUUAUGAAUAAAACAAUUCAAAAUACAACUUUCAACAACGGAUCUCUUGGCUCUC
rnacentral:misc_RNA from 1 species